UCUCCUCCUCCUCCUCCUCCUCCUCCUGCUUUCUCCCUCUCUUAGCUUCCUUCUCCCACCAUGACUUCAAAAGACUGCGGCAACCAUAGGCACAAGCAUCAUAAGCUGAGGCGAUGCUUCGCCGGAUUGCUUAUCUUCUUCUUCAUCGUCCUCCUCGUCGUACUCCUGGUGUGGGCAAUCCUCCAGCCCAAGGACCCACGCUUCGUCCUCCAAGACGCCACCAUCUACGCCCUCAACGUCUCCACCCCGAAUAUCCUCACCGUCAACAUCCAAGUCACCAUCACCACCCGCAACCCCAACGACAAGAUCGGCAUCUACUAUGAGAAACUCGACACCUACGCCACCUACCGCGGCCAGCAGAUUACCCUCGCGUACCUCAUCCCCCCCACCUACCAGGGCCACAAGGAGAUCAUCACCUGGUCACCUUUUCUCUCCGGCACGGCCGUACCCGUGGCUCCCUACAACGCCAUUGCACUGAAUCAGGACCAGUCGUAUGGCGCCCUCACCUUGAUCAUCAAGAUUGAUGGACGGGUGAAAUGGAAAGUUGGUUCCUUCACAUCAGGCCGUUAUCAUCUUAACGUCAAGUGUGUGGCGCCUAUUACUUUCGGUGCCAGGAGCAGCGGUGUUGUUAUCGGUAACGCCGUUAAGUACCAGAUGGCUUCCACUUGCAGCGUCAGCGUUUGAGCUUCUUCACGCCGUUAGUAUUAUUUCUCUCCCUUUGUCCUCUUCUUUUAAUUCUGUUUCUCUCCCUUGAGUCUCUAGUCAUACGUCUUUUGAAUUGUACAUUUUGCUAAGAAUAAAAGCGGAAAAAAAUUGGAAAGCAAAAUUGCAAUGUUAUGAAAAUUGUAUAACCGUGCUAUUAUAAGAUUAUGAUUUGUGCAAUAAUUAUUUCCAAGGGGUGGAGGGUGUGCUGUCCCUUUCUAUCAUUUUUCUAUGGUUGCUUCCUUCAAGAAAAUGAAAAUUAAAAGGAUGGGGGCACCUGUUUUAUUUUAGAGUGACUGGUUGAUGUGAUCCAUAAUUUUAUAUGUAUUUUGUCUUUCGUUUUUCGCAAAAUAGAAAGUCCAAUUCAUGAACACACCUAAGUUAAUUAGGUGUUAUCUUCAAAGUGGAUAGCAAGAAAAACGGUCACAUGGGGCUAUUAAAUCUCUUUUUCGCAAUGGGAGGAGAUGGUAAAAGUUUCCAAUAUCUCAAUAUAGUAGAAACCCAAGCCUCACCCAUUCAACACAAGAAUUUUUUUCUUUGUUUUAGAGAGAGAGAGAGAGAGAGAGAGAGAGAGAAUACCCUUAAAAGUAAUGUGAAGGUCGUAGCUGGUGUAUGGGUGUUGCAAUCUUGGGCAAAAGGCAUGAGUAGUGAGUUGUGGGUGUUGGGUCUUCAACAGUUCAACACUCGUAUGGCUUUGGUGGCUGUCCUUUUCGCUUCUCACCUGCCCUACCUACUAAUAAUAAUUGCUUUGUUAGAAAUAGACUUUUUUUUUUCUAAAUGUCUACGAUCGACGCUCCUGCUUUUCUUUCCCCAGUGUCUUUUAGAAGAUGAUGUCGGUCGAAGAUCCCACGUGUAAGAAAAUUUAAGUCCACCCAGUGCAUCAAUCUUCAACAUAAUCUCAUAUUGCCCAUCUAUUUUUGUCUGGGAGAAUCAUGUAUCAUAUAUUCAUAUGCACUUCCAUAUCCAUGCUUAUACCCACCCCACUCACUCCUUUUUGGACCUGUGCUAGCUCGACCAGCAAAACAUUGGGCUUUAAGUGCUUAUAUUAUGGGCUGGGCUAGGCAGUUUCUGCAACUUCAAAGCCCAUGCACUGAAAUAUUGUAUAUAUUAACUUCCACAAGUAAUGAAUUGAUAAAAUCUCUUACUCAAAAGGCCACAGCAACAGCAUUCACCCAUAAUAGAUGAGACAAAAACAAAUUUUGGUUUCAAUUUUGAAAUAUUGUGAAUUUAUUUUAGAUUAAUUUUUUGUCUAAAUUUUUUUAUGAAAUUUAAUAUCUGAAUUUGAUGAGUUAUGAGACAAAAAUAGUGAUCAUUUGUAGUAAAGUGUUGUUUCAAUUUUGGAAUAGUGUGAUUUUAUUUUAGAUUAGUCUCUUAUUCAAAUGAAAGUGAUUUUAAUAUUGUUCAUCUUCUUUUUUAGUUACAAUUUAUGAGAAAAUUUAAUAUCUAAAUUUUCUUGAGAAAAAUGAUAGAAAUUACGUUUUUAAAAUUUUUAUUUUAUUUUUAAGAUAAAAGCUAUCUAAAAUUUUUUUAAAUGAAUUUUAUUUUAUUUUAUGUAAGAAAUUACGUUUUAAGUAUUAUAAUAAAAUUAAAUUUUGAAAAGAUAAAAACGAAAAGAGAAGAAGUGAUACAAGUUAAAAAAAAAAAAAAAAGGAUCUCUAACUUCCUUGUAAUUUUUUUUUAUUAAAAAGAAAACAAAUCUUAAAUAAAUUUGUUAUAUUUUUAUAACCAGACCUACAGGUUGGACCCAAAAGGCCUAAGGUCCAUGAACUGGAGUCAGUUUGGGAGCUUGCAUUAUUAACUCCCAAAGAUCGUCCAGAACUAGGCCAGACUAGGUAUAGUGGAGCACUGCAUGAGCAAGCUGGGCCUCUCUGCCAAAUAUGAAAGGGUACGCCAGACUUCAGCAAUAUGUUUACCCGAUCUCAAGAUUGGCCCAAAAGUAGGCCCAUUCCUACAUAGUCCAUGGUCACGAUAUAUAUAUAUAUAUAUAUAUAUAUAUAUAUAUAUAUAUAUAAAGGCUGUUCCACAUUUGCGUUAAACAACACCGGUCAAGGGCCAAGGCACCAAACAUUGUUGGACCGAUCAAGGGCAGACACGCUUGUAUAGGAGUUUUGACCCAAAAUAGUAUAUUUAAAAAAAAAUAAAUUCAUAAAAUAAACUUGUUUCCAAAAUAAAGCUCGAUCUACAUUUGUGUUACAUAAACUGUCAUAUCAUAAAACCAUAGUCGGUAAUGAUGAUUUUAUUUUUUAAAAACGGUUAGAAACUGUAGUCACCAACCAUAAUUUUAAUUUUAAAUUUAAAGUCGCUACGAUUUUGAAUUCUUUUAAAAUUUGUCAAAAACGUAGUUACCAAUUGCGAUUUUAACUUUAUAUAUAUAAAUUUAAUUUUUUAAAUAAACAUAUUAUAUUAUUUUGAUUUUAAAUAAACUUAUUUCAUUAUUUAAAAAAUAAUAAUAUAUGAGAUUAAAUAAUUGAUAUUUUUAUUUGAUAUAAAUAUAUAUAUAUAUAUAUAUAUAUAUAUUAAUUUUAUUAAAACAAUAGGCACUAUAUUUAAUAUAAAUAUAUUUAGUUAAUUAUAUUUAUUUAAAACAAAUAAAUUGUGAAAGCUUAUUAAAAAAACAAAUAAUAUAAAUUAUUAUAUUAAUUAGUAAUUUUUUAUAUACUAUAUAUAAAUGGCAUAUAAUAUCACACGUAUAUAAGUUCAAUUUAAGUUUAAAAUUUAUAGUUCAUAAUAUUAUAUUGAUAUGAUAAUAAUUUACUUAUAUAUUUAAAUAAAAAUAUGAUAAAUUUUAAAUUUAAAUUAAACUUUUAUAUAUAGGUGAUAUUAUAUACCACUUACAUAUAAUACAUAAAAAAUUAUUAAUUAAUAUAAUAAUUUAUAUAUAUAUUUUUUCUAAAUAGUCUUUCAUAAUUUAUUUAUUUUAAAUAAAUAUAAUUUAUUAUAUUUCAUUUAUAUUAAAUAUAAUGCUAAUUUUUUUAAUAAAAUUAAAAAAAAAAUAUUUUUAUAUCAAAUUAAAAAUAUCAAUUAUUUAAUUUUAUAUAUUAUUAUUAUUUAAAUAAUAAGAUAAAUUUAUUUAAAAUCAAAAUAAUAUAAUAUUUUUAUUUUAAGAAAAUUAAAAUUAAAACGUGGUCCGUGAUUAUGGUUUCUAUUUUAAAAAAAUAAAAUCAUAAUCACCUAUUAUCAGCCAAUUUUAGAUGGUAACCUGAAAGGCCCAUUACCAGGAUUUGUGCGCCAUUGCGACGCGUGUGGCGCGCCUACCGAGUUUGACUGAUAAGCCACGAGAAAUGUUAGGAAUCUUCUAAUUUGUCCUCUACGGUUCAUGGCAUCUUUCAUGUGAGAACGAAAGCUACGAAGUUUCCUGGGCAACUUCCCAUCCACAAAAAUUGCGUUCAAGAUUAUCAUGAACUCCUUCCACCUCACCCACCCCUUUUUUAAUUCGACCCCAUUUUCCAAUUUUACGUGCCAUGACUUUAUCAUACCUUUAAUCAAUCAUAUUUUAAGAAAUGCUGCAUUGUUUUUUCAAGUUAAAUGAUCUCACGUGUAGACAAACUGAUAAAAAGGCAAUUAGAUUACGCAAGACUUAUGCGUUAACUGUUUCAUAAGUAAAAGAAUUUGGCUACCCACCCGGCUUUGACAAUGAUUGGUUUUGCCUAUUUUCUAUCUUUCCUUUUGCAUUCUAAUUUCCGUGAGCUUCCAUGGAUCUUUUUAUCCAACUUCAAAAUGAGAAAUGGGUUUAAUCAUAUAUAGGGUAGAGGAAAAGUGGAAAAACAUUGUAGACUGUAGAGUUGCUCUCAAAGUUUGUUACUUCCUGUGUGUUCCUAUGACUUUCAUUAAAGAAUAGGAUUUACUAUUUGCCCAGUUAAAGUCUCAUGACAUCACUUUGAAUUCUUACCAGAAUUAUUGGAAGAAAAUGUCUUAAUAAAUAAAAAAAUAAAAAAACCUACUAAAAAUAUCUAAUGGAAACAAAGUAAAGCGUUAAAUAAAUCUACUAAAUUAACAUUUGAAUUCUUUUCUAAACAUUAAUCUCAUUCCAAGUGCCUUUAAUUUUAAUACUUUUAAAUAAUUUCCUUUAAUUUAUAUAAUAUAUGUAAUAUUAUCUUUAUAUAAUAUUAAUUACAUUAUCCUUUAAUUCUAAAAAUGCAUUUAAUAAUGAUGGUCCGGAGUUUUUCUAAUUUUUUUAAUACGUAAAACAAAAUUUAUUUUAGAAAUAUUAUAAACAAUUUUUUAGAAUAGUUGUGAAAUGCACUUUAAAAUACAUUGAAUUAUGAAUUUUAAUUAUAUAUUUUAUGAUGCUUGAUGAUUUUAAAAAGAGGCCAACAUUGUUUAUUUUAAAUAUAUCUUCAUGAUAGAGCAAGAUUUUUUCCAUGUGUGACUCUAAGAUCAUAAAAUGAGGUGACAUUGGUAUGACAAUUAGAAAUGUUAAAAAAUACAAAUAAAAAUUUAUAUAUGUAGUUUGGCAUAUCGGGUUGAAUAAAAGGUAAUUACAUGAUGUUAAAAUUAAGUCUAUAUCAAUUACUUAUGUUAAUUAAUUUUAAUAAAAAGUGGAAAUAUUGCAAAUACAAAUAGAAAUGAAUGUAGAAAAUAAGUUUUUUUAAAUAGUUUAAGAAAAUUAAUAUUAUAUAUUUAAUUCAAUGUGAUAAAAUAUUUAGGAAUUAAAAACUGAAAUCAAUGUGGCCGAUAUGAUAAGAGUUUUUUUUUUUUUUUUUUUUUUAAUUUGAAAUGUGAAGAUAUUUUAUAAGAUAUUGAGUUGAUUAAGAAAUAGAAAUAAAUAAUACAAUGGGAUAUUUUGAGAAAAAUAAGUUCAUAACAUUUUAUUCUUAAAAAAUAUGUAAAAAGGAAAUUAAGUAAUAUAUAUAUAUACAAUUUUACUAUUAAUAAACCUCAUCACCAUUGCAUUAAUAUCUACAUUGUUUUUUUUUUAACUCUUCAUUUUUAUUAUGCAUUUAUACUUAAAAAUCAAUAAAAGCAUAUAAAAAAAAUAUUUAAAAUCUAAUAAUAUAUUUUAAAAAAAAUAUAGAAAAUAAUGUUUAGGUAAAUGAGGGAAUAGAAUAAUUAGUAAAUAAAUUUCUUUUCACUUAACUCCUUCCGAUUCUAAACAGAUGCUUAAUUUCUUGGUACUUUUAUAUGUAGGAUAGAAUAUAGAUAUAAAUAUAAAUAUAGAUUAUUUCACCAACCUCUAGUUUGAAAAUAAAUAUUUUUAAUUAAUUUCUCUAUAAAAGUCAAAUAACAUUUUUCCCAUUUCUU
rnacentral:lncRNA from 1 species